UUUGAGACAGGCUGGCCUGGAACUCUUGGUAGUCCUCCUGCUUCAGCCUCCUAAGUGCUGGGAUUAUAGUCAUGAGUCAUCAUGACUGUCCUACAGCUUUAAUACACACACACACACACACACACACACACACACACACACACACACACACACACAAUCUCCUACUAUAUCAGAAGAUUUUUGUUUAAAAUGUCCUAAAGCAGAUGCAUAUGCUAAAUUCUAUUAGUCAAAAUCUAUUCAUUGGAUUUAUAUAAAUUAGGUAGUCCUUACUACUGCCCUUUGUGCUACUGGAGUGUAACAUAAGCUGUUAUAGUUGCCUUUGAGUACACAUCCUUGGGAAAACAGAGAAACCGUAAUACUGGUGUGAGUGGGAUUUUAACUUACUUCACAUGAGUUAAGUAGAUCCCAUUUUCACUUUAAAAAUAACCUUUUGCUUAAUUUUUGAAGCAUCUAUUGUGAUAAUUUUCAUUCUUCCAGCUGUUUAAAGUAACUAUACCAAAUGUAGGUUAGUUCUGUCUUAAACAUAAAAUGUAGAUUAUAGAUUUUCUGUGUGCAGAACAACAGUAGGCAUUCUUGUAAGUUAGUUUGAGAAAUCCAUUUUAUUUAGUUCGAGGUACAGUCCCUCUGCACAGUGAACAAAUAUAUUACAAAUCUGUGAUUUAAAAAAGUAUUGCCAUUUCAUAGUCUCUUAUACUAUUGUACAAUAACUGUGUUCUUUAUUUGUCUGACUUGUAUACACAUUAAUUUACUGGAUUGAAGUUUUCAUUUUGAAAAAUAAUGGAACAGAUCUUUCCAAAUCAUUGUUAGAAUGCACAGUGCACAUGUUUAGGCCGACUGCAAACCUAUUUGUGAUUGUUAGACAGAAAUUCCUAACAGCUCUGCAUGAUUGAAAUGUCUUAGUGCUAACUCUUAGUUAUGUGAAGGCUGCUGUCGUCACCAUAGUUAAUCACAUCUUUGACCUUUGCCUUCUCCUCUGUAUUGCCUGAUUGAAUUGUGUUGCCUGAAAUGUUGUAGAGUGCUACAGUUGGAGAGUUGUUAGAGCUCUGCCCCCACUCUGUGUCUCUUCUCUCAUGUGUAGGGAAAUAAAGGAGCCCAGAGAGGGCAAGUGACUUAACAGGAGUGCUGCUAACAUCUCUUGACCGAGCUCUAGCCAUCCCACCUCUCGCUGGACACUUUUGUGCAGAGGGGAGUUGGCAAGAGAGAAGGGAGACUUGGAAUUUGCAUGAUUGCAGUUUGCCAGGUAGCAGUUAUUGUACAUGCAGGAUAAGGGAAGAAGAUAAAGCCUGGGAUCGAGAUGCCAUUUCUCCUUGCUGAUUGGAUUUUGCCAUGCUUCUUCAUCCUUGCUUCACAAAGAUAAUUGAACACUCAUGGCCCUGAAAUACUGAGGUUCCAUGCUACAUCAAGUGCCAUCUGCGAAGAAUUGCUUGAAAACAAGUCAAGGGACUCCCAACUAAGUAAACUGAAUGGGCCAAGUGGAUGGUUUCUAGGGAAACUCAAUUCUUACCAGCCUAUGCUUUGUUAUGAUGCUGGUGAUCUACCCUAGGGCCUUGCUCACUAGGCAAGUGGUCUUUAUCAGGGCUGCACCCCAGCCCUGUGACUGCCUUUUUAAAGCAGCCGCUUAGUCCUCUGGCGCACACAGAACGACCCAGGUACUGGGUGUACUGAUGUAAUGCAGCCAGGCCAGGGUUGGCAUUCAUUAUUCUUGAACUUUGACUUGGUAAAAUUUGGUAAAGCAGGCAUAGAAAUUAUUCUAGACCGAAUGAAAGUGCUGCACUUUUGAAAUAAUUACUCUUUUAUUUUAUUUUUUCCCUUCUCUUUCUGUUUUGCCUACUUUCACUGAUGGGGCAGAAGAAAGUGACUCUGUCUUUAUUAAAUUCUUGUUUUUGAAAAUGCAAGUUGUCAGAAGUAUGCUACAUUUUAAACUCUGAUUAUGGCUGUUAUAAUUUGAUGGACCAUUCUUUAUGUACACAGACUUUACGAUUAAUAUUAGAACAGUUCGUGUCCACGUACCAGUUCCCUUAGGUACUGAAACAGAUGUUGGUGGUAACAACAAUCAACAGCACAUACACAUUUCGGGUGCUUUAAAGUGCCCUCUCCCUUCCCCAGCCCCCUUUCCUUCUAGGAAAGCUUGCAGAACCUAAGCUACAUGCACCUUAAGCGUUGUUUCAGAAUAUUAAAUACAUAUCUUUUAGCUGAAUUUAGCUGAUGUUGAUGAGUAGCAAUAUCUUAAAUGUUUUAAAAAUCAUAUCCAGGGCAUUUAGGGCUGAAGAUGAUAGGAUUUGUCUUUGUGAACAGACUUCCUUGAACAGUUACCCAACCCCAUUUGAAGUGCUUCCUUCAGUCCAGGUCAUCUGUACUGAUAUUUCAAGUCACGGAUUGUCUUCUUUCAGAGUCAGAGAAUAGUCAGCAGAGCACACUAAGAGGGAAGCUUAUCCCUCUUACUGCUUGUCCUGGGAGGGCCCAUGGGCAGGGCUCUGUCUUACUGGGAGGAGGUCAUAAUGCCCAGGAAUCUGGCUGUUCCUAGGUAGGUCGUAUGGAUUCUGGAUAUAGCUGAAGUUACGACCUCGGCCUUCUUGGACCACACUGACUGUGGGCUCUAAGGAAUAUGGUGAAAAAUGAGUUCAGAGAACAGAUUAGCUUUGUUGCCUUGGUGGGAGAGAAGAAAGUUCUAUUUAACUUGUUGGGGAGAGGAACUGUGGAUAUCUAAAUCUGACAUACACGAGGAUUAGGACAGGCUUGCACUAGAGCUGGAAACCUAAAGGUAUGCACUGUCAGAAUCCCAGCCUCUGCUCAGCAAGAGAUUUCGGACACACUAGAGGUGUGGGGCCUAUGAACGCCUCUAGGAUCAUAGUUGAAACUAGGGGAGGUGUAAGGAAGUGAUUUAGAAACUUGUAAACAGUAGUUCUGACUGUUUUCUUUUUCAGACAUGGAUUUGUAUCAACAAUCAGUUAAAGUGUUGUAUACUGGUUCCCCAUCCUUGCUAUUUCUAUUGCUUAUCAGUUGUGAUUUGUAAGCAGAGAAACACAAGAUUUUGUUUUCCUGCAUUAGAGGGGAGGGCAGUCCUGGGACGGAGUUUCUCCUUGGUUUCCUUCAAUGCAACCAAAUAGAAGGGUGUGUUGUGGAAACAGUGAAUGGAGGAGGGAUUUCACUUGAGAUGCUGCACUGUUGCCCUGGUUCUGCUGAGUUACUUAUGUGAGACACCUACCAACUUCAUAUAUAUUUUUAUUAGAUGUCGACAAGGAUGGCACAUCUGUGUACGGAGACCCCAUGUGCACAGGUGACUUCAUUUCUACAUAGCUGCUUUCUGGAAGCUUGCAGGUGAGGAUGGGUGGAUCCUUAAUUGUGGCAUAAGGGUUUUCACUGCUGUUCAAGGAACAAGUACUAGAACUGCACGCAGAUUCUUUCAUGUAAUCUGCAAGGCAAGAGAGAUUUCUUAGGACAAACAAGGACAUAAGGAUUCAUAUAAAUACCAGAAACAGACUACAGUCAAGUUUGUGUGCCUUCAGGAUCCUGGGGCUGGAAGACUGUGAUAUCGGAAGGUUAAAUCUUAUUCAAUGUCUUAAGGCAUGCUUUCUUAGGUAUUCUUUUCCCACAGAAACAGGUUUUGGAAGGACAAGAAAAUCGUUGGCUUUAAUCAUUAGAUAUUAGCUCAAGAUUAUUCACAGUAUGCAAUUACAUGUAUUGUUUAGUUUAUACAAAUGCUAGCUGGUAUGUUAUCAUGUGGAAGCCCAGAGAGGUACAGUAACUUGGCUAGGGUCAUGAGUUAGUAAAUAGCACUGCAAAGCUAAGACUCAAAUCUGUGCUCUGGGACUUCUUGGCCCCAUGUUUUCUGUGAUGAUGACUACAAACUUUGAUUCAGCAUAUAUGUGUUUUAGUAUGGAUGUCAACAGUUUAGCGGUCUUCAGCAAAUAGCAGCAUCCCUGUCUUUCAGGAGCUCAUCCUUAGAGUGG